AUUAAGCCCAGUUUUGUUGCAUGAAAGGUUAUGGAAUCACAUGAAAGGUUAUUUACUGGUUAGCUUUGUAUCCCUGCUAGAUCUGAAAAUGAAAAUAUGCCAUUUCCUCAUAAAAUCUGACAGAUUGCAGUGGGGGUGGUGGUUUGGAUAAGUCAAACGGAACUUGUUGCAGUAGACAUAAGGUGUUUGCUUUUGCUGGCUGGACACUUGCCAAGGUGUUCUACAACAGUCAGAUUCAAUAUUGCAGUACACAUGGUGUUUUAAUUAUGUGACACAGGCUUCAGAUAAUCUUCCCGAUUAUUGUUUGCCUUCUGCUCCGACUGAAAGUAUUGGCUAUGUGCUGCAGGUACGAUCUGCUACACUCGACACAUGGCUUCCAGAACAGGUUGCAUUUAUUCAAAGUAAGCAUGCAGAACACUUCUCAGGCUUACAUUUCUUAUGAGCUUUUUAAUUGCCGCAAAUCUGCCUACCAAUGAGGACAGCUUCUUAGCCUUCUUUAUAUUGAUUUUAAUAUUGUUCUUACUCUUUUGGUUGUAUGCAACAAUGGGAAAUGAGAAGUCAAAUAGCUACUGGGAAGCAGAACUGCCUCCAAAUUACGACAGAAAUCUUUUGGUGGGCUCUAGUUGAUGAAUAACUUAGAUCCAUCACACAUGCUGCGAAUCACCUUAGCACCCAUCUUCUACGUAACAUCUAUUUGUUUGUGGUCUAAACACCUUCUUGGUCUUAUUGGAUGUCUUUCACUUAGCAAUACGAUAUUUCUUGUUCAUCAACUAAAGCUUUGUGUUUUCCUAAAUUGUGCAUGGUAAAAUGGGAUUUCACUAACUUGUUAGCAUGCUUGACUUGAGCUGACAAAACAGGUUUCUUCUAAUUCAAAAGCAAAGCCGGUCCCGGUGCAGGAUGAUUCAACACAGAAAGUGCAACCUACACCCAAUAUCCCACCUCCAAAGGUUGAUUAUGCCACUGAUCUUUUCAAUAUGCUUUCUAUGGAUGGCCCAAGUCAAAAUGGUUGUUGAAAUCAUUGACCAGUAUGAGACAGUGCAUUCCAGAGAGCUCAAGAGGCAAUAAGCUUGCAUUUAUACAGGACCUAAAAAUGGACAAAACCUGCACCAGGACAGUAACAAUGGGGUGUUAAGAAGCCUCAAAUCAUGGAAAAUUCUGUCACGAUCUUGUCGAGUGCAAGUCUUGGGAUGGCCAUGUUCAGUCUCGGUAAGAUCAUUGAUAUGCUCAUCAUGUUCAGUCUCGGUAAGAUCAUUGAUAUG